rnacentral:rRNA from 1 species
ACAACAGGGAUUGCCCUAGUAACGGCGAGUGAAGCGGCAACAGCUCAAAUUUGAAAUCUGGCUCUCGGGCCCGAGUUGUAAUUUGUAGAGGAUGCUUUGGGCGCGGCGCCUUCUGAGUUCCCUGGAACGGGACGCCAUAGAGGGUGAGAGCCCCGUAUAGUUGGACGCCUAGCCUAUGUAAAGCUCCUUCGACGAGUCGAGUAGUUUGGGAAUGCUGCUCAAAAUGGGAGGUAAAUUUCUUCUAAAGCUAAAUACCGGCCAGAGACCGAUAGCGCACAAGUAGAGUGAUCGAAAGAUGAAAAGCACUUUGAAAAGAGGGUUAAAUAGCACGUGAAAUUGUUGAAAGGGAAGCGCCUGUGACCAGACUUGGGCCCGGCGGAUCAUCUAGCGUUCUCGCUGGUGCACUCCGCCGGGUUCAGGCCAGCAUCGGUUUCCUCAGGGGGAUAAAAGCGUCGGGAAUGUAGCUCCCCCGGGAGUGUUAUAGCCCGUCGCAGAAUACCCUUUAGGGGACCGAGGACCGCGCUUCGGCAAGGAUGCUGGCGUAAUGGUCACUAGCGACCCGUCUUGAAACACGGACCAAGGAGUCAAGCAUUAGGGCGAGUGUUUGGGUGUAAAACCCGCACGCGUAAUGAAAGUGAACGUAGGUGAGAGCUUCGGCGCAUCAUCGACCGAUCCUGAAGUAUUCGGAUGGAUUUGAGUAAGAGCCUUAACGCUUGGACCCGAAAGAUGAUGAUCUAUGCCUGUAUAGGGUGAAGCCAGAGGAAACUCUGGUGGAGGCUCGCAGCGGUUCUGACGUGCAAAUCGAUCGUCAAAUAUGGGCAUGGGGGCGAAAGACUAAUCGAAUCAUCUAGUAGCUGGUUACCGCCGAAGUUUCCCUCAGGAUAGCAGUGUUGUUUUCAGUUUUAUGAGGUAAAGCGAAUGAUUAGGGACUCGGGGGCGCUCUUUAGCCUUCAUCCAUUCUCAAACUUUAAAUAUGUAAGAAGCCCUUGUUACUUAGUUGAACGUGGGCCUUCGAAUGUAUCAACACUAGUGGGCCAUUUUUGGUAAGCAGAACUGGCGAUGCGGGAUGAACCGAACGCGGGGUUAAGGUGCCAGAGUGGACGCUCAUCAGACACCA